GAAGACCUAGUGGCGAACGGGUGAGUAACACGUGAGGAACCUGCCCCGGAGACCGGGAUAGCCCUCCGAAAGGAGAGCUAAUACCGGAUGUCCUCACCGAAUCGCAUGGCUUGGUGAGGAAAUGGAUUCCGCUCCGGGAGAGCCUCGCGGCCUAUCAGCUAGUUGGUGGGGUAACGGCCCACCAAGGCAUCGACGGGUAGCUGGUCUGAGAGGACGAUCAGCCACACUGGGACUGAGACACGGCCCAGACUCCUACGGGAGGCAGCAGUGGGGAAUCUUGCGCAAUGGGCGAAAGCCUGACGCAGCAACGCCGCGUGCGGGAUGAAGGCCUUCGGGUUGUAAACCGCUUUCAGUGGGGACGAACCAAGACGGUACCCAGAGAAGAAGCCCCGGCCAA
rnacentral:rRNA from 1 species